rnacentral:rRNA from 1 species
AACGUAGGACACAAGCGUUAUCCGGAGUUACUGGGCGUAAAGGGCGUGUAGGCGGGAUUAUAAGUCUACUCUGAAAGCUCCUGGCUAAACUGGGAGAGGCGAGUGGAGACUGUAGUUCUAGAGUGAGGAAGAGGAAAGUGGAAUUCCGCGUGUAGUGGUGAAAUGCGUAGAGAUGCGGAGGAACACCGGUGGCGAAAGCGACUUUCUGGUCCUUAACUGACGGCUGAGGCGCGAAAGCAUGGGGAGCGAACGGGG